rnacentral:rRNA from 1 species
UACGUAGGGUGCGAGCGUUAAUCGGAAUUACUGGGCGUAAAGCGUGCGCAGGCGGUUCGUUGUGUCGGCGGUGAAAGCCCCGGGCUUAACCUGGGAAUGGCAGUGGAUACUGGCAAGCUAGAGUGCGGUAGAGGGGUGUGGAAUUCCCGGUGUAGCGGUGAAAUGCGUAGAGAUCGGGAGGAACACCUGUGGCGAAAGCGGCGCACUGGACCAUAACUGACGCUGAGGCGCGAAAGCUAGGGGAGCAAACAGG